rnacentral:lncRNA from 1 species
UAAAAAUUGGUGUAAUUCGAUUUUUAAGUUGAUUUAUAGGACGGUGCGGUGCUACUUGAAAAUGAAGACUAUAAAUAGAAAAUAUCCUGGCCCGACGGUGGCGGUGCUACUUGUUAUAUUCGGUCACUGUUGGUUUUUACAUUCUAUCUCUACACAAGGAUCUGAUCGUACACGUGUUUCAAUCUUUAACCCUAAGUCAUGCCAGUUACUCUGUUAACCCAUCUCACUCCGUGUUUUUUCAUUCUCUCUCCUCACGACUGAAAUGUUCCCCUCCAGAUAAUCGAAGCUACUAAAAUCGAUUUCCUUUGAAGGAAGUAAGUGCAACAUCGAAGCCCUUGAAAUCGAAGUCCUAAAUCCCCUCCAGAAAAUCGUUUUCUGCAAGCCCUAGAAUCCUAUUCUUCCCUUCUCUCCGCCGCCGUCUCAGGUAUGGGUUUAUAAAUAAAAGAUCAAUAAUUUGGUGGUUCUUCACUUCUUAUACUCAUUUUGGUGGUUUUGUUUAUUCAACCCCUGCAUCCGACUCUCUUGGACAAACAACAAGAAGAAAGAAGAAUAGAAAUUCAAAAUUGAAAACUAACUACAUUUACUUGCUGAAGGUCUUUAAAAAUGAAUAUCAUAGCACUAUAUUCUAAAUUGAGUACAUACCAGUAAACUAUUGUGACUGAGAAGGAGGUAGAACUAUAAUCAAGUGGAAUUCUUGGUUACAUUUCUCUAUAUUUGUUUGAAUGAACAAAAAGAGCUUUUGAAUUUUAGCAUAAUUGCAGUCCUUUUAUAUUUUUCUUUUCAACUCAUGUUAUGAUCUUUUUUUAAGUCAACAUUUUUCACAGUUAAAUUAAACAGGAUAAGAUUUGUCCUGAUUUACCCUUUUAAGACUUCCAAUUUUAUUUGUUCUUGUAGAUGCAAGACAUCAUUGUAGGGUUCUUAAUGUGAUUGAAUUCUCAUCACUUGCAAAUCAAUAGUUGUGUAGCAAAGGUUAUUCACUAUGUAUUUAUAUACAAAUAAUACAAUUCGCCUGUUAGAACUCAGUACCAUUAACUGUGUAAAAGACAUAAGCAGAGGACUGUUUCUGUAUAGAGUUUGUAUUUGAUAAAGCUAGAGCACCUCUUUGGUCCUUUUGGGGACUCCUUAAUUUAGAUUAAUUCAUCUCUCUUUUCCAUACUUUAUUUUCCUCCAUAAAUUUUUUAUUUGCCGUUUAUUAUGGUUCGGAGAAGAUAUCACUGUCCUUCUGCUAUCUAUCAGCAUAACUAUACAUUGGAGAGAAAUCAGUUGAAUUAAGUAUUCAACCUACACAAAUGUUUGAUGAAGAACAGGUUCCAACCCUACUUGACUCUAAACUAGGCUCAUUAGUCCACCACAUCUUCUGUGUUAUCAAGUGACUUGAACAUUUCCUUAAUUUGUUUGCUUCAUCUUUGUUUCAUAGGAUUAUAUUUUAUUGGUUGUAUCUCCAUAUAUGUAGUAAGAUUUGUUGAUUAUCUCAGUCAUUGGUCCACAUGGUCUGAACUAAUUAUCUGUUGGUUAAUUAAAUGCAGGAACUCGUUUGCAUCCGAAGUCUUGUAUAUGCAAUUCAUAUUUUGGUUCACAUACUCCGAAGCGUUGUAUAUGCAAUUCAUAUUUUGGUUCACAUACUCCGUUUCUUUUUCACUCAGUUACUUGGGCUCUUGCAGUGACAAUGACUGCGAUUCUUCUGUCAGCGUACUUGAUAAACUUUUGAACAACUAGUUGCCAUGGUCAGAUUAGCAAAUGGAUAAAUUUAAUAGGCUUUCAGAAACAUAUAUACCCAGCUCCUUUGCAGACUUGGAUAAAUCUAUGACAAUGUGUGGGUGUUGUCUCAAUUACCUGAGACGGAUUUUGAUAUCUUCUGUUUUGUGUAAAAAUAGGUAACUAUUGCGUACCUCUGCUGAGAUGUCAAAACACGAUCUUGAACAUCUAUUCAUCUUCUCGUCCGGAUGCAUUUUCAUCCGAAAUUUUUAUUGGGAUCAUCAUCUCACAAAACUUUGGAUGUUCUUCUGGCAAAACAUUAUUUGUACCUUGGAUUUGAUCAUCCUUUCAGUCAGUAGAGUAAGUCCUUUGCAACAGCUUCUGGUUUUUGCUGAUUGCGUGCUUGGGUCCAAGUUUUUUUUUUUUUUUUCAUUUCAUUUCCUAAUUGGGGAGGGAGUUCACUCAAUAUUGUAAUUCAAGGAAAAUAAGCUUGUAUGAUUGAUGAAUCUAGGUUUCAUGUCUUGAUAUAUAUAAACUUGGCUGUUCAUCAAAGAGCCCUAACAAAUUGAGAUCUCUUGACCUUGCUAUUAGCUGAAGGCAUUGAUAUAAGUUGGGGUAUUGUGUAUCAUUAUCUGUAUGUAUAUAUAUAUAUAGGGGUCAGGUUACAUAAUUCUCUUAUCAUCUGCUUGGUUCAGUUAUACUGAAAACUGCAUGAACAUUAUCCAAGCUGAUAUCUUCAUGACAUUCAAUUCCCACACACAAGCUCAGAAAAUGUUUGAAACCAAUUAUUCUCAACAAUCUCUUAUAUUGAGAGUUUUAGUAAUUUUACGUCAAAAAUUUUUGUUGGUCGAGAUCAAAUGUUACCCUUGUGGGGAUUAGUAUCAAAUAUUCCGGAGAUGAGCUUCUUUUUGUACUCUGUAUAUGAAAAAUCUUGGAUAUAUGUAUCUUCCUCAACUUGGAAAUUUAAAACUUGACGGCUUGACAAGCUUGACGGCUUCGACCGUCGGGAGAUAGCUCAGGCGUAAGAGUCAGUACAGGCGAUUACAAGGUUAACAAUGGAGGAUAAAAUAUCUAGUGUAUUGAGAGAGAAAAAAAUAUCAGUUACCUUUACUUGGACGACCUCCUUGCUAUGUUAUACUCUCUAGCCCGGUUUACCGUGCCACCCACUACCGUCAGACACUGCUCCCCACUACUCAGUGAUCGCAGCCAACAACAUGCCGACUGUCACCUUUUUCAUACUGUUUCUACCGCCGGCCGACUAUAAUCUCAUCCACAUUAAUGAUCUGCAGGCCACUCGGUCAACAGCCUUCCUUUUUCAUCAUUACAAGUCAAAGAUGGAGAUAUUAAAAUAUCUAGUGGGUUAGCCCACUCAAGUUGGCCCAAGUCUUUCAAGAUAUGUUCAUGAGGAUUAACUAAACUGGCCCAACUGACCAAGCCCAAUAGAGAUGACCCAAGAGAUUUAAUCAAAUGAACAGGCCCAAUCUACUCGGCCCAAUAUGUGAAAUAUCAUGACCUAACAUUGCCCCCUAGUUUUUUAUUCAACAAACUAUUUAAUAGAAAACUAUAAAUUACCCAUGAUAUGAAGAAUUUAAUAAAAUCAAAAGAUGCCCAAAUUAAACUUUAUCAAGGCCCAAACGGUAAGGAAGUAGAAUGAUAGGAUAAAUUGAAACCGGAAACCCAACUGAAAGGCCCAAAAGUUUAAAAAUGAAGGAUUGAACCAAACGAUACCCUUUCAAAUUCAUGAUUAUGACUGUCAAUUAAAUGUGCCGCCCUCGUGUACCGUGUAACCGUCAGUAUAAAAAGUAAACUUCACCAAACUUGACAGUUUUACCUGCCAAUUUGAAAUUUAGACGCUUGAGCUCUCUUAUUCUCUCUCGAACGUUUCUUCCCUUCUCUGCAAAAUUUCAACAAUGGUGGUCCUUAAUACGAAUCAGAUCUCCCCAAUUCGGGCAACCCCUCAUACUGUCGUUCCACCUAACCCAGGUCCCAACGAAGAAGCUUCGAGUUCUAACCCUCAAGCUGCGAAAUCAAGCACGAAUCCACCUCCAAACCUACUCCCUAUGAAUUCUUCAGAAGUAAGGAGCGUUUUUCACACGCCAAUACCCCUUCUGAAAUAACAGAGAUUGGUUUAAAGAAAAUCCGUACUCGAUAUCAAAUCUCUGAUACCAUCAGGUGAGAGCUCCACGGUCUGAAGAGCGAAUGUAUCAACGACCGGAAGGUUGGACGGCCGUUCCAGUGACCCUUCUGGAGAAAGGGGUUCGAUUCCCUUUGCACAUUUUCUUGAUUACCUUUCUAGGGUUUAUCGGCGUUGGAUUUGCCCAGUUGGUGCCGAACUCCUACAUUCAUAUCAUCGCCUUCAUCGCUUUUUGCCACGAAGUAGGAGUAGAGCCCACUCUUGACUUCUUCUUCACUAUUUACAAGAUUGGCCAAACCCGGGAAAAAGGGUUUAAGGCUUUGAGCAAAUUACCAUCGAAGUCAGGUGAGAAGUUCGAAAGACGCUCUCUAAUCAAUACUCCUUCCAGCAAUAGAGGAUGGCAUAAAGGGUGUUCUUCAUCAAAGGACCAGAAAUUGCUUCCUUACCGGGUUGGGUCACUGAAGAUGUAGUUUCUGCUGACUUCGGUGACAUCCCGGAAGAACGCGCAAGUGAAAUGAUAGAGCUGUUUAAAAACUUCCCAUCGAAAGAAUGGAAUUACUUGCUUCUUACUAAGCAAGCCUAGUUAUAUGAGCACAAAUGUAAGUUUUGAAUUAUUUGAUUGCACAAUUGUCUGAAAUUUUUAUUGAUAUAGAUUUUGACAUGUGACUUUCUGUUUUUCGUAGUAUCUUUGAUUAAACCGUCUUCUAUAGACGUGAGAUUAGCAAAUGGAUAAAUUUAAUAGGCUUUCAGAAACAUAUAUACCCAGCUCCUUUGCAGACUUGGAUAAAUCUAUGACAAUGUGUGGGUGUUGACUCAAUUACCUGAGAUGGAUUUUGAUAUCUUCUGUUUUGUGUAAAAAUAGGUAACUAUUGCGUACCUCUGCUGAGAUGUCAAAACACGAUCUUGAACAUCUAUUCAUCUUCUCGUCCGGAUGCAUUUUCAUCCGAAAUUUUUAUUGGGAUCAUCAUCUCACAAAACUUUGGAUGUUCUUCUGGCGAAACAUUAUUUGUACCUUGGAUUUGAUCAUCCUUUCAGUCAGUAGAGUAAGUCCUUUGCAACAGCUUCUGGUUUUUGCUGAUUGCGUGCUUGGGUCCAAGUUUUUUUUUUUUUUUUCAUUUCAUUUCCUAAUUGGGGAGGGAGUUCACUCAAUAUUGUAAUUCAAGGAAAAUAAGCUUGUAUGAUUGAUGAAUCUAGGUUUCAUGUCUUGAUAUAUAUAAACUUGGCUGUUCAUCAAAGAGCCCUAACAAAUUGAGAUCUCUUGACCUUGCUAUUAGCUGAAGGCAUUGAUAUAAGUUGGGGUAUUGUGUAUCAUUAUCUGUAUGUAUAUAUAUAUAUAGGGGUCAGGUUACAUAAUUCUCUUAUCAUCUGCUUGGUUCAGUUAUACUGAAAACUGCAUGAACAUUAUCCAAGCUGAUAUCUUCAUGACAUUCAAUUCCCACACACAAGCUCAGAAAAUGUUUGAAACCAAUUAUUCUC